CCUACGGGAGACAGCAGUGGGGGAUAUUGCACAAUGGGGGGAACCCUGAUGCAGCGACGCCGCGUGGGUGAAGGAGUGCUUCGGCAUGUAAAGCCCUAUCGGCAGGGAAGAAGCAAGACGGUACCUGACUAAGAAGCCCCGGCUAACUACGUGCCAGCAGCCGCGGUAAUACGUAGGGGGCGAGCGUUAUCCGGAUUCACUCGGUGUAAAGGGAGCGUAGACGGCCAUGCAAGCCAGGGGUGAAAGCCCGGGGCCCAACCCCGGGACUGCCCUUGGAACUGUGCGGCUAGAGUGCGGGAGGGGAAGGCGGAAUUCCUGGUGUAGCGGUGAAAUGCGUAGAUAUCAGGAGGAACACCGGCGGCGAAGGCGGCCUGCUGGACUGCGACUGACGUUGAGGCUCGAAAGCGUGGGGAGCGAACAGGAUUAGAUACCCUAGUAGUC
rnacentral:rRNA from 1 species